GUGACUGUAGCUCUGUAGGAAGAGCAGCUGUCUUGCAAUCAGAAGGUCGUGGGUUUGAGUCCAACUUCCUCCUGCCAUA